GCCGGAGUGGUGAAAUUGGCAGACACGCAUGGUUUAGGACCAUGUGGGGCAACCCAUGGAGGUUCAAGUCCUCUCUCCGGCACCA
rnacentral:tRNA from 1 species